rnacentral:rRNA from 1 species
UACGGAGGAGGCUAGCGUUAUUCGGAAUUAUUGGGCGUAAAGGGCGCGUAGGCGGCCCGGUAAGUCAAAGGUGAAAUCCCUCGGCUCAACUGAGGAACUGCCUUUGAAACUGUCAAGCUUGAGUCCGGAAGAGGCGAGUGGAAUUCCUGGUGUAGCGGUGAAAUGCGCAGAUAUCAGGAGGAACACCAAUGGCGAAGGCAGCUCGCUGGGACGGUACUGACGCUGAGACGCGAAAGCGUGGGGAGCAAACAGG